rnacentral:rRNA from 1 species
AAUGAACGUUGGCGGCGUGGAUUAGGCAUGCAAGUCGAGCGCUCAUAGCAAUAUGGGAGCGGCGAACGGCGUAGUAAUACGUAGGAACGUACCCUCGGGUCGAGGAUAGCUAUGGGAAACUGUAGGUAAUACUCGAUAACCUCUGCGGAGCAAAGGUGUGAUUCCGCCCGAGGAGCGGCUUACGCGAUAUUAGCUAGUUGGUAGGGUAAUGGCCUACCAAGGCGAUGAUGUCUAGGGGGUGUGAGAGCAUGGCCCCCACGACCGGAACUGAGAUACUGUCCGGACACCUACGGGUGGCUGCAGUCGAGAAUCUUCCGCAAUGGACGAAAGUCUGACGGAGCGACGCCGCGUGCGGGAUGAAGGCCCUUGGGUUGUAAACCGCUGUCAGAGGGGAUGAAAUCUUCGGAGGUACUCCUCCGAAGUUGACAGAGCCUCAAAGGAAGCACGGGCUAAGUACGUGCCAGCAGCCGCGGUAAUGUCAC